rnacentral:rRNA from 1 species
CCCUUAGAUGUUCUGGGCUGCACACGUGCUACACUGGUAGGUUCAGCGAGCUUCAUGCCCUGAUCUGAAAGGAAUGGGAAAUCUUUUCAAAACCUGCCGUGCUUGGGAUAGAUGUUUGCAAUUAUUCAUCUUCAACGAGGAUUGCCUUGUAAGCGCACGUCAUCAGCGUGCAUUGAAUACGACCCUGUAUUCUGUACACACCGCCCGUCGCUCCUACCGAUUGAAGUUUUCGGUGAGUUGACAGGAGGAUUUUUUUGAAACUGGUUCGCCAGUGGAUUUUAGAUCCAAAUGCCAACGAAUCGAGGGCUUUAGAGGAAGGAGAAGUCGUAACA